CCUACGGGUGGCAGCAGUGAGGAAUAUUGGUCAAUGGGCGCGAGCCUGAACCAGCCAAGUAGCGUGAAGGAUGACUGCCCUACGGGUUGUAAACUUCUUUUAUAAAGGAAUAAAGUGAGGCACGUGUGCCGGUUUGUGUGUACUUUAUGAAUAAGGAUCGGCUAACUCCGUGCCAGCAGCCGCGGUAAUACGGAGGAUCCGAGCGUUAUCCGGAUUUAUUGGGUUUAAAGGGAGCGUAGGUGGGUUGUUAAGUCAGUGGUGAAAGUUUGCGGCUCAACCGUAAAAUUGCAAUUGAUACUGGCAGUCUUGAGUACAGUUGAGGUAGGCGGAAUUCGUGGUGUAGCGGUGAAAUGCUUAGAUAUCACGAAGAACUCCGAUUGCGAAGGCAGCUUACUAAACUGCCACUGACAUUGAUGCUCGAAAGUGUGGGUAUCAAACAGGAUUAGAUACCCGAGUAGUC
rnacentral:rRNA from 1 species